AAUUUGUAUUAAUUGUAAAAAUUCGGUGCUAAAUUUAUCUUCAGCUAUAAUUAAAUAAAUGGAGGGUGACCAUUAUUUCAGCCUAUCGCGGAGUCGCCACGGCCCAUCUUUGGGCCUUUGGUUAAAAUUGCCCCAACCAGAAUCGGCAUGUCCAGAACUGGGCAAACCCUGGCCUAAUUUCAAUCUUUCCAUGUUCCAAGUUAUUUUCGUCGGAAUCCUAACUUCUUUUGGACAUCCCAGAAUUUGACCACUUUAUCAAUGCAAAUCCAAAUUAACGGUAAAUUGUUUUUGGAAUUACAGUAUGGAAUUUAAUAACGAGCUUUUCGUUUUAAUUGCCUAGCCAUCUUUUCGGCUUUGUACCGUUUUAAAGUCUGUAAACUUUACCUGAAAAAUGCGACAAUUGUGUUCAAUUUUUCCCGCAUUCUCAAAAUAGCUAAACUGUUGAUAGGAAUCGUGUAAUCGCUGCGAUCGGUAAAACAAUACAAACAAAGUAACAAAAUUAUAUUCUCUAAUUCAUCCUCCUUUUUCUUCGGUAAAAUUGUAACUAUUUAUAAGCCUGUAUGGAUCUGUUGGAAAAACUCUGUUCCGUGUCUUCAGAUUACGCGGUUGUGCACGUGAUCUACUUACUCGCAUGUCUGCCCAUAAAUUAACAGCACAGGCAGUUUUCAGCCGAAUUUAACAAUUUAACGGUUAUUAAAAACCGACUUUUUCUCAAAAGCUAUCAUCAAACACGUUUUAAAAUAUUAACCGAGCGGAUUAUUAAAAGCGGUUGGCGGGCAGCGGGUUUAUGGCCGGUUAAUAUAAACAAACCAUUAUUAAACCCCCUAUUUUUGGAAAAUCGAAAUUUUCAACAACAAGCUUCAGCAAAACCUCGCCCAAUACGCGUCCAAAUCGCCUUUUCACCUAAAAACCCUGGGGAUAUAUCGCGUUCCAUUUAAAACAACUCUUUAAUGGGUUGGAAACCCCGGAAAAUGCGAAAAAUAUUAAAUCGCAACUAGGCUUUUAUUUUCGGUUAACCGGAAACGAUUCCACGCAGCGAUUGUUAUUUUCGAAAAUCCAAAAAGGUUGGGAUUCCAAAGACCUAAAACUGGCAAUGGCUUAUCGACGAAUUAACCAAUUGGAAUCGCAAUUUGCGGCCGUGGUACCACGGGAAAAACAAAGGGUUAAUCCGGAUCCAAAUAUUAUAUUCGUUGGGCUAAGGGAGAUAUAACGGGCUCAAACCCGGGCGGAAACAGUUUAAACAAACGUGGAGGAAUCUCCUGGAAUUUUUAAUUCUUCAAAUAUAAAUAAUUAAAUUGUUGCAAUUAUUUAAAUUGUCAAUAUAACGAAAUGUUUUGUGGCUUUAUAAUUUGUAUUUCUAUUUUUAAAGGUGACGGUUGAGGGGCGCUUUAAUUUGAAUUUGUUAAAUUUUAAUUAGGGUGUUUUUUAAUACAUUUUAACGAAAGGCCCGCCAUCUCGCUCCCCCACAUUAAUUUUGUUCAAAUUUGACAGGCCGAAAUUUUUUACUGCGGGCUAUAUGGGUAAGGUCCCUGGUGCCCGUUUCGCCCGUGCGAAAGCGUCAAAUUAGCAUCAAGCAUUAUACAGGAAACGUUUCCUAUUAAUUCGAAAGCGGACGCACCGUUGAAAUUUUCCCCCGACAGAAUUUAAUACCACGAGCAUAUAAGGCCGGGAAAUGCGAUUAUCUCGAAAUAUUACGCUAUUAAUAAUAAUAAUUAAUUUCAAAACAGAAACCUGUUACGACCAGGGGGAAUUAACACGAUUGGGUAAAAUCGGAAAAGGUGUCGGGAACCCAAGUUGGAACCACCAGGAAUUACGAACCAGGAAUAAGACCAAAGGAGCAGGAAGUUACGUGGUAAUAAAAUAAAAAACCCUAACCCGAUCACCGAACGGACGUGAUCGCAGUUACCGCCAAGGAGGUGAUUAACCCCAGUUGUAAUUACUUUGGAAUAAUUAUAAUUACUUAUACAAAAUAAUCACUGGUUUAUAUAAAAUACGUUCGUUACCAUAUAAAUAAAACUCAGUCGAGGAUUGUUUAUUAGCAAUUAAUUUAUUAUCUACCCAGGAAUCGAUUAUAAUUUCACCCCAGUUAUUAAAAAUCCCGAAUACCCAGUCAAGCGCUCAAUUGCUUUAAUACACUGUGCUUUAUUAUAAGAACAGGUUACCCGAUACCUCGAUUGUAACAAAACCUUUAAUUUCCUAUCCUGGUCGUGUAUGGAAAAUUCUCGUACCACGGGAAUUUUUAUCUGUAAGGAUAGAAAUAUGCUCCAGAAUUACUAUUGGCUUCGCGCACCACUAAUUAAAGCCCGUGUCCAGUGGUAUAUUAAUUUGGCAGGUUCACAUAUAAUCUGAUGUUUUAAAAGGUUGUUACGGGAGGAAAAUUGGCGACCGUUGCAUCCAUAAUCCCAAUAUCGCGGUUUUGGGCGGCUUCCCACCAUUCGGACGUUAUAUAAUAUGUUUUUUUAUUCUACAUUUCGAAUUAUUAAUAUUCCGGGACCUGUAUUUAUAAAGUCAGGUACCUGUCGCUAAUAUAUUUGGUUUUGUGGCCGGAGGUUGAAAUAAUUACGCGAAUAUAAGCCUAAUACCUUGUAAAAGAUUAUAAAAUAAUAUGGAAUUAAUUUAUUUAUAAUUUAAAUAUAGUUCCACAAUUGUUAU
rnacentral:sRNA from 1 species